rnacentral:rRNA from 1 species
AAGGCCUUCGGGUUGUAAACCGCUUUUGUCAGGGAAGAAAAGCUCCGAACUAAUAUUUUGGGGUGAUGACGGUACCUGAAGAAUAAGCACCGGCUAACUACGUGC